rnacentral:misc_RNA from 1 species
AACUUUUGACAACGGAUCUCUUGGCUCUCGCAUCGAUGAAGAACGCAGCGAAAUGCGAUAAGUAAUGAGAAUUGCAGAAUUCAGUGAAUCAUCGAAUCUUUGAACGCACAUUGCGCCCUUUGGCAUUCCUUAGGGCAUGCCUGUUUGAGUAUCAUGAACACCUCAACCCUCACGGUUCCUCGUGAUGGGCUUGGACUUGGGGGCUUUGUUGGCCUGUGGUCAGCUCUCCUCAAAUAAAUCAGCUCGCCAGUGUCUGGCGGCAUCAUGGGUGUGAUAACCAUCUACGCUUGUGAUCGCCUGCGAGGUAAACCUCUGGUCUGCAGAGGUUCGCUGGAGCUUAUAGAUGUCUCUCCUCUGUGAAGACAGCUUUCUGAAGCUCGAUCUCAAAUCAUGUAGGACUACCCGCUGAACUUAAGCAAAUCAAUAAGCGGAGGCU